rnacentral:rRNA from 1 species
UCUGCCUAGUAGUGGGGGAUAACUUGCCGAAAGGUAAGCUAAUACCGCAUACGUCCUACGGGAGAAAGCAGGGGACCUUCGGGCCUUGCGCUAUUAGAUGAGCCUAGGUCGGAUUAGUUAGUUGGUGAGGUAAUGGCUCACCAAGACAGCGAUCCGUAACUGGUCUGAGAGGAUGAUCAGUCACACUGGAACUGAACACGGUCCAGACUCCUACGGGAGGCAGCAGUGGGGAAUAUUGGACAAUGGGGGCAACCCUGAUCCAGCCAUGCCGCGUGUGUGAAGAAGGUCUUAGGAUUGUAAAGCACUUUAAGUUGGGAGGAAGAGCAGUUAACUAAUAUUUGACUGUUUUGACGUCACCGACAGGAUAAGCACCGGCUAACUUCGUGCCAGCAGCCGCGGUAAUACGAAGGGUGCGAGCGUUAAUCGGAAUUACUGGGCGUAAAGCGCGCGUAGGUGGUUCGUUAAGUUAGGAGUGAAAGCCCCCGGGCUCAACCUGGGAAUUGCUUCUGAAACUGGCGAGCUAAAGUAUUGGUAAAGGGUGGUGGAAUUUCCUGUGUAGCGGUGAAAUGCGUAGAUAUAGGAAGGAACAUCAGUGGCGAAGGCGACUUCCUGGCACAAUACUGACGCUCAUGUGCGAAAGCUAGGGUAGCGAAACGGGAUUAGAUACCCCGGUAGUCCUACCGUAAAUGAUGGAUACUA